rnacentral:rRNA from 1 species
AUUGAACGCUGGCGGCAUGCUUUACACAUGCAAGUCGAACGGUAACAGGCCGCAAGGUGCUGACGAGUGGCGAACGGGUGAGUAAUGCAUCGGAACGUGCCCAGUCGUGGGGGAUAACGCAGCGAAAGCUGUGCUAAUACCGCAUACGAUCUAUGGAUGAAAGCGGGGGACCGUAAAGCCUCGCGCGAUUGGAGCGGCCGAUGUCAGAUUAGCUAGUUGGUGGGGUAAAGGCCCACCAAGGCGACGAUCUGUAGCUGGUCUGAGAGGACGACCAGCCACACUGGGCCUGAGACACGGCCCAGCCACCGACGGGAGGCAGCGGUGGGGAAUUUUGGACAAUGGGCGCAAGCCUGAUCCAGCAAUGCCGCGUGCAGGAAGAAGGCCUUCGGGUUGUAAACUGCUUUUGUACGGAACGAAACGGUCUGGGUUAAUACCCUGGGCUAAUGACGGUACCGUAAGAAUAAGCACCGGCUAACUACGUGCCAGCAGCCGCCGUAACAC